GACGAACGCUGGCGGCGUGCCUAAUACUUGCAAGUCGAACGCAGUGGGGACGGGUGAGUAACACGUGGGUAACCUCCCAUCAGAGGGGAUAACACUUGGAAACAGGUGCUAAACCGAUACUGAUGGAUGGACCCGCGGUGCAUUAGCUAGUUGGUGAGGUAACGGCUCACCAAGGCCACGAUGCAUAGCCGACCUGAGAGGGGGAUCGGCCACACUGGGAAUGAGACACGGCCCAGCCUCCUACGGGAGUCAGCAGUAGGGAAUCUUCGGCAAUGGACGAAAGUCUGACCGAGCAACGCGGCGUAAGUGAAGAAGGUCUUCGGAAGGUAAAGCUCUGUUGAUAGGGAAGCGGUAUCUAACCAGAAAGCCGCAGCUAACUGCGUGCCAGCAGCCGCGGUAAUAC
rnacentral:rRNA from 1 species